rnacentral:rRNA from 1 species
CGCAACCCUUCGUCCUUAGUUACCAGCACGUUAUGGUGGGCACUCUAAGGAGACUGCCGGUGACAACCGGAGGAAGGUGGGGAGUGACGUCAAGUCAUCAUGGCCCUUACGGCCUGGGCUACACACGUGCUACAAUGGUCGGUACAAAGGGUUGCCAAGCCGCGAGGUGGAGCUAAUCCCAUAAAACCGAUCGUAGUCCGGAUCGCAGUCUGCAACUCGACUGCGUGAAGUCGGAAUCGCUAGUAAUCGUGAAUCAGAAUGUCACGGUGAAUACGUUCCCGGGCCUU